GACGAGCCACACGAACGUUAUUCGGAAUUACUGGGCUUAAAGGGUGCGUAGGCGGCGCGAAAAGUUGGGUGUGAAGUACCUCGGCUUAACCGAGGAACUGCGCCCAAAACUAUCGUGCUCGAGGAAGAUAGAGGUGAGCGGAACUUACGGUGGAGCGGUGAAAUGCGUUGAUAUCGUAAGGAACACCCGUGGCGAAAGCGGCUCACUGGGUCUUUUCUGACGCUGAUGCACGAAAGCUAGGGGAGCAAACGGG
rnacentral:rRNA from 1 species